rnacentral:lncRNA from 1 species
GUUUGAGUGAGAAUUUUUUUUUCCCACAAACUAAAUGUGUCCUUCAUAUACCUUGUUUGAUGGCGCAAGGAAGCUUCGGUGUGGUUUCAGUGGGUAUAUAAUGACGAGGAGAACAAAAGCCUCGAUAAUCAAAGAACUUCUUUCGAUAUUUAAUGCAAAGGUGUCCGGCUGUGGGAUCUAUGGUUAAAUGUUUCUUUUUUACUUUAUCUAAGUGACUAAAAGCUUUAAAAAGUACAUUAAUUGCUGGUUUUUGAUCUACAGAUUUUGAUUGCGCUACCCAGUUACUGAAUAAAAUAAACUUUAUCCAAUGGUAAUUCCAUGGAGAAAUAUGUACUGCUAAAGGUGCUUUACAAGCCACAUCAUUAUAUCCAAUGGUAAUUCCAUGGAGAAAUAUGGGGGAUGAAGAGGUUGAAUGUUAUCAAAGCUGGAGCCGCAGAAGUUGCCACCCCCUUCAAAUUGCUACCAAUGGAAUAUACGUCGGCACUAGUUGUUGAUGUAUAUACCUUUCACAGAAAUAUUAUUAA